AUGGAAACACAUCGUGCGUACUGCCUACCUUGUUUUCUCUUCACAAAAAGGCCAAGUGGAAGGUGUGGCUCUGAUUCAUUCACAGUCAAGGGAUUUAAUAAGUGGAAGAAGGUGAAUAAUGGAAAGGAAUGUGCUUUCUUAACUCACAUGGGCAAAGAUUCCAACUCUGCUCAUAACUUUUCUCAGCGAUGUCAUGAUAAUCUGAAAAAUAGUGUGACUCACAUCGACAAGGCAAUGGUGAAAGUGUCUGAAAAAAAAGUUACAGAUGCAAGGCUAAGGCUUAAAGUUACAAUUGAUUGCAUCAAGUAA
rnacentral:rRNA from 1 species